UACGUAGGGGGCAAGCGUUGUCCGGAAUCAUUGGGCGUAAAGCGCGUGUAGGCGGCCAGGUAAGUCCGUUCUGAAAGCCCGGGGCUCAACCCCGGGAGGCGGAUGGAUACUGCUUGGCUCGAGUCCGGAAGAGGCGGGUGAAUUCCCGGUGUAGCGGUGAAAUGCGCAGAUAUCGGGAGGAACACCAAUGGCGAAGGCAGCUCGCUGGGACGGUACUGACGCUGAGACGCGAAAGCGUGGGGAGCAAACAGG
rnacentral:rRNA from 1 species